rnacentral:rRNA from 1 species
UACAGAGGUCUCAACCGUUGUUCGGAUUCAUUGGGCGUAAAGGGUGCGUAGGCGGCGCGGUAAGUCGGGUGUGAAAUCUUGGAGCUUAACUCCGAAACUGCAUUCGAUACUGCCGUGCUUGAGGACUGGAGAGGAGACUGGAAUUUACGGUGUAGCGGUGAAAUGCGUAGAUAUCGUAAGGAAGACCAGUGGCGAAGGCGGGUCUCUGGACAGUUCCUGACGCUGAGGCACGAAGGUCAGGGGAGCAAACGGG